rnacentral:tRNA from 1 species
AGAAUAUGGGGCAUCAAGAAAAAGCUGCUAACUUUUAUCUUUAGCGGUUUAAUUCCGUUUAUAUUCUU